UGCUUAUUAACGUAAAUGGGUGUGAAUCUAGUUUUCACAUCGUUUUUAUACUGUGACUAGAUCCACACUCAUUAAUGUUGAUAUGAG
rfam:Anopheles farauti strain FAR1 unplaced genomic scaffold supercont2.10, whole genome shotgun sequence.